rnacentral:rRNA from 1 species
GAUGAACGCUGGCGGCGUGCCUAAUACAUGCAAGUCGAGCGAAUGGAUUAAGAGCUUGCUCUUAUGAAGUUAGCGGCGGACGGGUGAGUAACACGUGGGUAACCUGCCCAUAAGACUGGGAUAACUCCGGGAAACCGGGGCUAAUACCGGAUAACAUUUUGAACCGCAUGGUUCGAAAUUGAAAGGCGGCUUCGGCUGUCACUUAUGGAUGGACCCGCGUCGCAUUCGCUAGUUGGUGAGGUAACGGCACACCAAGGCAACGAUGCGUAGCCGACGUGAGAGGGUGAUCGGCCACACUGUGACUGAGACACGGCCCAGACUCCUACGGGAGGCAGCAGUAGGGAAUCUUCCGCAAUGGACGAAAGUCUGACGGAGCAACGCCGCGUGAGUGAUGAAGGCUUUCGGGUCGUAAAACUCUGUUGUUAGGGAAGAACAAGUGCUAGCUGAAUAAGCUGGCACCUUGACGGUACCUAACCAGAAAGCCACGGCUAACUACGUGCCAGCCGCCGCCGUAA